GGUGUGACGCCUGCACCGGUGCUCGAGGUUAAGAGGAUGCGUCAGUCGCAAGAUGAAGCGUUGAAUUGAAGCCCGAGUAAACGGCGGCCGUAACUAUAACGGUCCUAAGGUAGCGAAAUUCCUUGUCGGUUAAAUACCGACCUGCAUGAAUGGCGUAACGAGAUGGGAGCUGUCUCAACCAGAGAUUCAGUGAAAUUGUAGUGGAGGUGAAAAUUCCUCCUACCCGCGGCAAGACGGAAAGACCCCGUGGACCUUUACUACAACUUAGCACUGCUAAUGGGAAUAUCAUGCGCAGGAUAGGUGGGAGGCUUUGAAGUAAGGGCUUUGGCUCUUAUGGGAGGCCAUCCUUGAGAUUACCACCCUUGAUGUUUCUGUUA
rnacentral:rRNA from 1 species